rnacentral:tRNA from 1 species
CGGCGAGUAUACCGUAAAUGGCUAGCGGGGCAGACUGUAAAUCUGUUGGCUUCGGUCUCUGAAGGUUCGAGUCCUUCCUCGCCGA